UAACCAACUGAAGAGAGCCAUGUUAUAAAAAGCUUCUCUUGGAACAGGAUAGCACAGAAGCAGAGACUUUAAGUCUAAACAGACCUAGAUUCAGAGCAGACCCGAUGCUGCUUGAAGAAGGCUGGAGGUAUGUUAAGGAGACAAGGGCUGUCAAGAAGCAGGGAUGUCUCUGGAAAGGAAUAAAAUAAAACAGUCUGGGACAUUGGCUGCUCUAAAUUACAGAAGUAAGAAAAGGCAGGCUGUGGGAACAAUGGAGAUAUAUCAAUUUCAGCUUGGACAAACUGAGAGAAAAUUAAAAAGGUGAUUCAAGGUUGUAGAUUACUUUCAAUUAUACAGUUGGAUGAGAAAUAAAGACAUCAGUACAUGAAUUUAUUUGAUAUUCUUUUAAGUUCUGAUGCAAGGAAAACAAUCUCAAAAUUGGGGCUUAGUCCAAGAGGGUUCCUGGCUUCACCCAGAAAAGGAUUCAAUAGUUAGCCAGUGUUGUUAAACAGCAACUUUUAUUGAAGCAGCAGUGUGCAGCAGCAGCAGAGGUACUGAUCCUUGCAGAGUAGCGUUACCCCUUAGGUAGGGUGCCCAAAGCUGAAAAGCCGUUCUGCUGUCAUAUUUAUACCCAGUUUUAAUUACAUGCAAAUUAAGGGGCAUGUUAUGCAGAAAUUUCUAGGAAAAGGAUAGUAAAUUCCAGGUUGUUGCCAUGGAAAGGGGAAGUGGCUUCAAGGUGUUGCCAUGGUAAUGGUAAAAUAACAUGGCAAACUGGUAAGUGUGCCUUAUGGCAAGCUGCUUCUACCACCCGCCACCCUGUUUUAGCUAGUCCUCAAUUACUUGGCCUGGUGUCUGAGCCCUGCCUUCAGAGUUGAGCCCUGCCUCCUACCUCAGUUCUGCACUUCAAUUAUUUGUUUAAUUAUCCAACAGAGACUUUUUGAAUGCUUUUAUGUGCCAUACACUGUGCUAGCCUCCAGUGACACAAAGCUGAAUAAGAUUCAAAACUUUCUUCAAAAACAGUUCACACCAUAGUAAAGUAAAAUAUAAUCAAAGACAGCUUUAUUUUUCAAAAUUCAAAUA
rnacentral:lncRNA from 1 species